CCUCAACCUAAUUUCCAUUUCUCAAAGCGGGAAAAGGAGACUCCCAGAACACUCAAAACCACCACUCUACAGCCAGAUACCGAUUCCGUACCGGAGAUAUGAGGGGCAAGACUCGCCGCCGUCCGGCGGAAUCCUUCCAUCCGCAACCGACUCCGGACCGCCGCCAAUUCCCGUUCUCCACCUCUGUCGCUAACACCUCCCGUGACUCCGAUGCCAGCUUUGCCAGUAGCCGACCGUCAACCAUCGGCGUCGGCAGAUCUUCCGAGAUCUACACCGAUCGGUCACACCAAAACUCAGCAGUUCGCUCAAUCAAUACGUACCUCUCCUCUCACUCGUCAGUUCUUUCGUUGAGGACGCACCCUAUCUCCUCCGCUAAGGAGAUCACCGAAGUCCUCCAGUUCCUUCUCCACCGACUGGAUUAUCCUUCUACGAAGCUCGAGGAUGAUCUUUUCAUAAUUUUGAAGUCCCUGAAUUGCCCCUUCAAGGUCAUCAGAUCUACUCUUCGUGCCCCUAAUACUCCUCAUAACUGGCCUUCAUUUCUUGCAGUAAUUCACUGGCUAGUUCAGAUUGCGAUGUAUCAGGAGCACUUAGCAGCUAAUUCGAGGUCUUUUGUGGAAAGUAAUAGUAUGCUCGUGUAUGCAUUUAACAGUUAUUUGAGUUAUAUUCGUGGGGAUGAUGAUUCAGUGGAGACAUUGGAUAGAGAGUUCAUGGAGAAGCUGGAGAGAGAAAGGGAUAGUGUGCUUGAAAGUGUUAGGGAUUUGGAGGCAAAUUUUAACCAACUUUCGGCGAAAGCGGAGGCGAUGCGGAAGGGGCCUACGGAGAUAGAGAAGCUAGAGAAAGAGAAAAGUGUGUUAGAGGAGGAUGUGAAAAAGUUCCAUGCGAUGAUUGCAGAGUUCAAUCAGAGGAUUGAGGGUAUGGAGAAGCUGUUGGAGGAGAAAAGAAAAGAAUUGGAGGCUAAAGUGGAGGAGAGGAAGAGGAUUGAUGAGGAGAAUGAGGAUUUGAAGAAGAGGGUGGAUGAACAGAGUUUUAAUGCGAGGGAUGCAGAGAGGAUGAAGAGGGAAUUGCAGGCAGUGGAGAGAGAUAUUGGAGAGGCUGAGGCUGCAAGGAAUUCAUGGGAGGAGAAGAUGUGGGAUCUUGAUGCAGCAAUUGGACAUAAGUUUAAGGAGCUUGAAGCACUUUCCAUGGAAUGUAACCAGGCUGCUAGGAGAUUAAAACUUGGAAAUGGUUUUCAGUAUGUGUUAAAUGCUGAGGGUUCUACACCUGCUGAAGUUAUGGGAAUUGACUACAAAUCUAUGGUGAAGCCUGGACUUGAAUCCUUUGCUGAUGACAUAAAGAAAAAUUCUAUGGCAAAACUGGAAGAGUUGAUUUCACUUCAACAAGAAUCAUCAGAAUUGACUGCUAAGAUUGAGGGCAAAAAAAAAUCGCAUCGCUGAGCUUCAAUCUCAUGUUGAUGAAGUUGAAGCUCAGUUGAACUCUUUGAGGAAAGAAACAGAGGAGUACACCAACAGAUGUGCAGCAGAAGCUAAAAAGCUGGUGCAGGAUGUUCAAAUGGAGGCUCAUAACUUGGAUAUUUUGGAAAGAGAAGCAGCAGAGAUUCUGAAGGACUCCGAACUAAAGUUGCAGGAAGCAGUUAAAAGAAGUGAAGAAGAAAUUCAAAUGCAUGCACGAGAACUCUUUGAAGUGGUUGAUGCAGUCUCAAAAUACAAGGAACAUAUGGAAGCCAAAAUUUCAGAGAUGAAGAACAAGCUGUCAGAAACUGCCGUUGCUGUUUCUGGUGCUUACAAGCGUUCCUUGCCAGCACAAUUUGGUAUCAGCUUUGAUGCCAUUCACUAACUCUUUGUACAACCCAAGUGAUGGAUGUUUCUUCUCUUGUGUGUGGGCUGAGGACAUGUGAUUGCAGUUUUCUUCUGCCACUCUAUGCCAAUAUAAGGGCCAGGGCCAUGUUCUUACAUUUUUAUUCCUUCUGUAGCUGUUAAUUUAUGAGUUGGAAUGGAGUACAAAGCUGUUGAAUAAGCGGAAAUUAGGCUUCAACAGUUUUUAGCACAGAAAGUAAGAGAUGACUCCUGAUGGCUGUUGAGAAAUGAUAGAUUCUCAAUUUAGGGAUUUUAUGUGUAAUUAUAUAUUCUUAUGUAAGACAGUAGCUGGCAAAAGAAAACUACAUGGGCAAGCCACUCUUUAUCAGAGCCUGGUUUCGAUCCAGGGACCUGUGGGUUAUGGGCCCACCACGCUUCCGCUGCGCCACUCUGAUUGUUGGGAUUGGAAGAGAAGAAUAAUUAAUAAAACAAGCCUAGUAAUUUAACACUCUG
rnacentral:tRNA from 1 species